rnacentral:tRNA from 1 species
GGGGGCAUAGCUCAGCUGGGAGAGCGCUUGAAUGGCAUUCAAGAGGUCAGGGGUUCGAUUCCCCUUGUCUCCA